ensembl:lncRNA
AGCCGUGACUGCUUCCCGCCUCCGCUGGGCGGCAGCUUUUUUUUAAAUAACCCAACCCCUCAGUAGUGCUGUUGGCAAAGAAGGAAUGAGAUGGUGAAACGUGAAUGCCAGCGUGGCCCCUACCUUCAUUUACCUUGAUACUUUGGUGCUUGGCCCUUCCCAGCCUCUGUUCUGGGCUCUGGUGCAACUGUGCUGCUUGUACAUUCCAAGAAUAAAUCCAGCUAGAUGAGAUGAAGCUUUUCCCACCGCCACUGUUCUCCAGAAGCUGCGUGGAUACAUCCCAGAUACUUAUCCCCCUUUAAAUUAGGCAUUCCUUAUGCUUGAUGAAGUAAGAUCAAUUAUUUUUAGGUGUUGCCAUGGUUAACCACUCUUACAGCUAACCAUUUGUGUCU